rnacentral:rRNA from 2 species
GGGUUGUGAGGUUAAGCGACUAAGCGUACACGGUGGAUGCCCUGGCAGUCAGAGGCGAUGAAGGGCGUGCUAAUCUGCGAUAAGCGCCGGUAAGGUGAUAUGAACCGUUAUAACCGGCGAUACCCGAAUGGGGAAACCCAGUGUGACUCGUCACACUAUCAUUAACUGAAUCCAUAGGUUAAUGAGGCGAACCGGGGGAACUGAAACAUCUAAGUACCCCGAGGAAAAGAAAUCAACCGAGAUUCCCCCAGUAGCGGCGAGCGAACGGGGAGGAGCCCAGAGCCUGAAUCAGCAUGUGUGUUAGUGGAAGCGUCUGGAAAGGCGCGCGAUACAGGGUGACAGCCCCGUACACAAAAGCGCAUGUGCUGUGAGCUCGAUGAGUAGGGCGGGACACGUGGUAUCCUGUCUGAAUAUGGGGGGACCAUCCUCCAAGGCUAAAUACUCCUGACUGACCGAUAGUGAACCAGUACCGUGAGGGAAAGGCGAAAAGAACCCCGGCGAGGGGAGUGAAAAAGAACCUGAAACCGUGUACGUACAAGCAGUGGGAGCACCCUUUGGGGUGUGACUGCGUACCUUUUGUAUAAUGGGUCAGCGACUUAUAUUCUGUAGCAAGGUUAACCGAAUAGGGGAGCCGGAGGGAAACCGAGUCUUAAUUGGGCGUUAAGUUGCAGGGUAUAGACCCGAAACCCGGUGAUCUAGCCAUGGGCAGGUUGAAGGUUGGGUAACACUAACUGGAGGACCGAACCGACUAAUGUUGAAAAAUUAGCGGAUGACCUGUGGCUGGGGGUGAAAGGCCAAUCAAACCGGGAGAUAGCUGGUUCUCCCCGAAAGCUAUUUAGGUAGCGCCUCGUGAAUUCAUCUCCGGGGGUAGAGCACUGUUUCGGCUAGGGGGCCAUCCCGGCUUACCAACCCGAUGCAAACUGCGAAUACCGGAGAAUGUUAUCACGGGAGACACACGGCGGGUGCUAACGUCCGUCGUGAAGAGGGAAACAACCCAGACCGCCAGCUAAGGUCCCAAAGUCAUGGUUAAGUGGGAAACGAUGUGGGAAGGCCCAGACAGCCAGGAUGUUGGCUUAGAAGCAGCCAUCAUUUAAAGAAAGCGUAAUAGCUCACUGGUCGAGUCGGCCUGCGCGGAAGAUGUAACGGGGCUAAACCAUG